AUGAUAUCUCCAAGUGAUGAACAUAAUGAAGAUGAUAGAAGGUCGUGUAUUAAAUAUUUUGUAACACUUUUGUUUUUAUUACUUAUAAUACUAAUGUUAAGGAAGGAGAAAGAAGAAGAGGAACUUAAUAGUCGUAAUAAAGUAAAUUUAAGACAAAAUGAAAAUAAUAGGACUCAUGCAUUUAAUUAUUUAAAAGAUAUUGAUUUGUUAAAAUAUGAUUCAGUUAUAUAUAUAUCACCAAAUAGGAAAAUUGUACCUAGUUUAACAUACAUAAGUGAAUAUAUUGUACAUGUGGAAGGAUAUGAUAAUAUACUACAUAAUUUUGAUAAUUUAUCAUUGACAAUUAAUGAAAUAAAUAAUAAUUUUUAUAUAUCGGCAGCUGCUAAUAAUAAUAAAAAUAAUAAUAAAAACUAUAUAUGUAAUAAUAAUGAAAACAGUUCGGACAAUUCUUGUGCAACUAUUAACACUAUUUUAGUAAGUAAAAAUCAAUAUAAGAAUGUGAACAUUUUAAGUUGUCAAAAAAAUAAUAUUUGUUUUUUUGUAUUCGUUCAAUUAAAAAAAAAUAAAUGUUAUAAUUUUAAUAAUUUAUCUCAUUCCUGUCAUUUAAAUAACACAUAUAAAAGCCCGAAUAUAUUUUUAAUAGAUAAUUAUUGUUAUAUAAUUAUAGCUAGUCCAAAGAUACAGAAAGUAUAUGAAUUUAUACAAACUGAAUUACUGGGUAGUAAUAAAACGUUUAAUGAAAAUACAAAAAGUGAAUAUGUAGAUAUAGUAACACAUUUUUGUGGUAAUGUAUUAAAUCAAAUUGCAAAUAUAGAUCCAGUUAAUGGUAAAUUACUAUUUAUGCAACAAUAUAUACAUAAAAAUUAUGAAAAUAAAAGUGAAAAUGAAAGUGAUGAUAAAGAGCAUAUUAUCCAAAAAAAUAAUGAACAAAAUGAACAAAAUGAAGAAUACAAUAAUGAUAAUUUUUAUGAUUAUGAUACAUAUAAUAAACAAAAAAAUAAAAAUAAAUCUUUAAAAUUUCAAAUAAAUUAUUAUUUAACAAUAAUUAAUUUAGCAUCAGAUAAUAAAGAUAUUAUAGAAUAUAUAGACUACAUGAAAAACAAACAAAAUUUUAACGUGUUCCCUCCUAUAUAUAUAGGUUAUCAUGAAGUCUCUAAUUUCUAUUAUAUUGUACAACAUGAAAAUAAUGGCUGUCUUACUUUUAUUUUUAUUUCGGCAUCGAAUUUUACAGUUUAUUACGUGUUAAAAAUAAGGGACUUUUAUUCGGGUUGGUUGUUAAACUCAAACUUUGAAUUUAACUAUAAAGGCUUAGUUCUUUUUGGUGAAUACCCACCCUAUGAAGAUGAGCUUCAUGUUUGGGAUAUAGUUAAUUUUCAGCACAAAAAAUAUAUGGUUAAUGUUAUUAAAUCUUAUUAAAAAACUGAGUUUUAAUUAUGUUUAAUUCAUACAUUGUAAAAAAAAGUGUUUGUAUUUUUUUCUGUCCAUAAGUUUACUACUUUUUAUAUGACCAUAUGUUUAUUGGUUCAUAUGUCUAUAUGUUUAUUGGUUUAUAUGUUUAUUCGAUUGUAUUAUAACUCGCUUGUAUGUUUUUAUUUUUAAGUAACAGUAUUUUUUUAUUUAUAAAAUAAUGUAUUUGUAAAUUAUGUAUCAUGUUUAAUUCCUUCCGUGUUGACACAACAUGCCUUUUUUUGUAUUUUUAUAAUAAUUUAUAUAUAAAAAUUCAAGCAUAAAAAAGAGUGAACAUUUGUAUUGUUGCACAUUAACGUUUGUUUUAUCAUCCAUGUCAUAGUUUUUUUUUUCGUUUUUGUUUAUUAAAGGUAAUGUACAUAUAGGUAUAUAUAUAUAUAUAUAUUAUGAUUAUUUUUUUUUUUUUUUAAACCAAAAAAGAUUAUUGAAACAACAUAUACAUAUAUGUAUAUAUAUAUACAUAUAUUUUUUUAUGUAGAACUAAAAGGCUUUAAUGCAUUAAAACAUGUUUUAAAACAUUGUUUAUUUGUUUAUAUUACCUAUUUAAUUAUUUUUUUAAUUGUUUUUUUGUUAUAUUUUGGUAUUACGUGGUAACAUUAUUACUUUAUGUAAUUAAAUCUUUUUUUGGUUUUCUCUUAUCACUUAAAUAUGUGAAAGCAAUACAUUAUUUUAUGUUAAUUAGUUCAAAAUAAGAAGUAGCAGUAAACUUUAACCCAUUGUUUAUUUUUUUUUAUGUAAACAUGCGCGUUUUUAUGUAUAUGUAUAUGUAUAUAUAUUUAAUAAAAAGAUAAAGCAAUUAUGUGUAUAUAUUAUA
ensembl:lncRNA